GACGGGGGGGGCAAGUGUUCUUCGGAAUGACUGGGCGUCAAGGGCACGUAGGCGGUGAAUCGGGUUGAAAGUGAAAGUCGCCAAAAAGUGGCGGAAUGCUCUCGAAACCAAUUCACUUGAGUGGGACAGAGGAGAGUGGAAUUUCGUGUGUAGGGGUGAAAUCCGUAGAUCUACGAAGGAAGGCCAAAAGUGAAGGCAGCUCUCUGGGUCCCUACCGACGCUGGGGUGCGAAAGCAUGGGGAGCGAACAGG
rnacentral:rRNA from 1 species